rnacentral:tRNA from 1 species
GAUGAUGAUCCCAAGCCUUCUGGCGAUCUCUUAAAAAAAGCCUGGCCUGCUUAAAACAAACGGGCGUUUAAAUACUCUUUAAAUUCUUAUGAACCGUUAAAGAGUAUCCAUUUAAAAAAGGCUUUAUGAAGAAAGCACUUUAAGCUUUUCCAAUGAUUUAAGAUGAUACCGGGGAAGGUUUUCCGGUUUAUCCCGGAGGGCUUGUAGCUCAGUUGGUUAGAGCGCGCGCUUGAUAAGCGUGAGGUCGGAGGUUCAAGUCCUCCCAGGCCCACCAAUUUAUGCUCGUUUUUUUACUUAUCCUGAGAGUUAUGAAGCUUAAGCCUAUCAAAGCCUCUUUAAUCUUUGUUCAUCGUUUAAAGGUUUAAUUUUAUCCUGCAAAAAUUGUUUGUUAAAUUUAUCUCAUUAUGUUUAUCAAAUAGUGUCUUUGUCAAAAAGGAUUUUAACUUCCCUGUAAGGUACAGAUGAAUUAAAAUGAUGCAAAUCAAAAGAGUGCCAAUUUAAAGCGUACAAAUUUAAAGAGUGCAGGUUAUUCAAGUUGAUAAAUUUUUUGAGGUUGAUUUGAGAGAGCAUUCUUUAGGGGCCGUAGCUCAGCUGGGAGAGCACCUGCUUUGCAAGCAGGGGGUCGUCGGUUCGAUCCCGUCCGGCUCCACCACUUUAUGGUUCAUCAUCAUGUUGUAAGAACACGGUUUAGUAAAAGGCUUUUUUACCCUUUUGCUUGUUCU